UAAUCCGAUAUUGUAUUAGCUUCUUGCUCAGCAGCCGUUUGUGUGCUCUGUUCUUUUCUUUUUUGAAGGAUGUGUGCUCUGUUCUUGGAAGCAUGCAUGUCAUGCUGAAGUUGCGUCUGCAUAUAUUUCUAGUGAUCACUAGAGACCCUUCCCGAAGGUUUUUGUGACAAGCCCUUGGUUGAUUUAUUAGUAACUGACAACUCUACAUGUUUGAAUUGCAUUGGAUGUUUGCUUUGGCGCAGUUUUUAGGAAUCAGAUGCAUGGAAGGAUCGUGAUCUAUCCAAGAAAUUUUGGAGGCGAAAGAUGAACCUAUUUUCCUGUUCUACUUUAAAUGGUCUCGGGGGCAACAAAGUGAAAGUGUAUUUGAUGACAAGGCGUUCACAAUGCCUCUAUGCUUUGCGCUGCCAUUGAUGCCAGUCAAUGAAGCCAACAUUCAAACAAGUGUAACGACUAUUAUGUUUGACGCCUCUUGCGAGAUAAUGAGCUACAAGUUUCUAUAGAAAACAAGUGUACAGUUUGUGAGUAUGAUUUAUAAAUUAGUAUGCAAGUUAUAACUAAA